CAUUGAUUUGCAGUUGUCCAAGGCAUUGGCAGCAGUCUGCAAAGACGUCUACUCAAACAAGUUUACUCGUUCUAUUGCCCAAGAGCUCUGGGAUCUCUUACUGUCAAUGCUUGUAACAUCAGAAAGCCAGCAGCAAAAAAGGACUGCUACGGGGGCUGUCAAAGAUGGUGCCCAGCGAGACACUGCCACACCUACCUUAAGCAGGCAUACAUUCCAUUCUUUUCUUCAGCAGCUAAAGGUGAGUCGCUUCUUCCUCAACUGACAAAUCUGUUGUGGAGCAUGCAAAACAAUGAAGAUUGCUGGCUCUGACUCAGUGAAUGAAA